GGUGGGGAUGACGUCAGGUCAUCAUGGCCCUUACGGCCAGGGCUACACACGUGCUACAAUGGGGCGCACAGAGGGCUGCAAACCCGCGAGGGCAAGCCAAUCCCUUAAAGCGUCUCGUAGUCCGGAUCGGAGUCUGCAACUCGACUCCGUGAAGUCGGAAUCGCUAGUAAUCGCGGAUCAGAAUGCUGCGGUGAAUACGUUCCCGGGCCUUGUACACACCGCCCGUCACACCAUGGGAGUGGACUGCACCAGAAGCGGUUAGUCUAACCUUCGGGAGGACGAUCGCCACGGUGUGGUUCACGACUGGGGUGAAGUCGUAACAAGGUAGCCGUAGGGGAACCUGCGGCUGGAUCACCUCCUUAUCGAC
rnacentral:rRNA from 1 species